ACGCCCCCACGGAAAGGAGAAGAAUUUGUCUAGCUUCUCCACCAGUUUAACAUACUUCAACGUCGGCUUCGGCUUCUGCGUUUUUGGCAUCAGCACCCCGUCAACAAUGAUGAUCAGGCAUAUUCUAAACUUCUUCCUCUGCGACAGAGUUGUGUCACCAGCGACCAAGGCUGCAAGGUCUUCUAAACUCAAGUUACGCCUACCCCCAAACAACUUGUCCCAGAAAACAUAAUCUGCUUUCUUCGGCUUCGGUUUAUCAUCUACCUCGUAUCCCUGCUCAAACUCCCCACAAGCCAAGCCAGUAACAUGGC
rnacentral:lncRNA from 1 species